rnacentral:rRNA from 1 species
AACGGGGGGAACGAGUGUUAUUCAUCAUAACUGGGCGUAAAGGGCGAGUAGACGGCAUCUCCAGUGUUAAGUUAAUUUAAGUAAUAAAUUUCUUCUCAUACAGAAUGCUUGAGUUUUAAGGAUGUUAGUGGAAUUUAAUUAUAGGGUGAAUGCGGAAUAGAUUAGAGACUAUCGAACGGGCGAAGGCGACUAACAAUUUAGAACUGA